AUACGUAGGGGGCGAGCGUUGUCCGGAAUGACUGGGCGUAAAGGGCGUGUAGGCGGCGGUGUAAGUCUGGAGUGAAAGUCCCGCAUUCAAUGUGGGAAUUGCUUUGGAUACUGCAGUGCUAGAGUGCGGAAGAGGUAAGUGGAAUUCCCAGUGUAGCGGUGAAAUGCGUAGAGAUUGGGAGGAACACCAGUGGCGAAGGCGACGUACUGGGCCGUAACUGACGCUGAGGCGCGAAAGCGUGGGGAGCGAACAGGAUUAGAUACCCUGGUAGUCCACGCGGUAAACGAUGAAUGCUAGGUGUUGCGGGUAUCGACCCCUGCAGAGCCGGAGUAAACACAAUAAGCAUUCCGCCUGGGGAGUACGGCCGCAAGGUUGAAACUCAAAUGAAUUGGCGGGG
rnacentral:rRNA from 1 species